rnacentral:piRNA from 1 species
UAGCAGUACGCAAAGAUUUCCUGAACGGA